rnacentral:rRNA from 1 species
GACGAACGCUGGCGGCGUGCCUAAUACAUGCAAGUCGAGCGGAAUGAUGAAGAAGCUUGCUUCUUCUGAUUUUAGCGGCGGACGGGUGAGUAACACGUGGGCAACCUACCUUGUAGAUUGGGAUAACUCCGGGAAACCGGGGCUAAUACCGAAUAAUCCAUUUUGCUUCAUGGCGAGAUGUUGAAAGACGGUUUCGGCUGUCACUACAAGAUGGGCCCGCGGCGCAUUAGCUAGUUGGUAGGGUAAUGGCCUACCAAGGCGACGAUGCGUAGCCGACCUGAGAGGGUGAUCGGCCACACUGGGACUGAGACACGGCCCAGACUCCUACGGGAGGCAGCAGUAGGGAAUCUUCCGCAAUGGACGAAAGUCUGACGGAGCAACGCCGCGUGAGUGAAGAAGGUUUUCGGAUCGUAAAACUCUGUUGUUAGGGAAGAACACGUACGAGAGUAACUGCUCGUACCUUGACGGUACCUUAUUAGAAAGCCACGGCUAACUACGUG